ACCGCGGUAGCCCAGUUGGUAGUGGUGUCGGCAGUACAAAUUCCGAAAAUCGCAGGUUCAAAUCUUACCCGUGGUG